GACGAACGCUGGCGGCGUGCUUAACACAUGCAAGUCGAACGGAAAGGCCCCUUUUGGGGUACUUGCGUGGCGAACGGGCGGGUAACACGUGAGUAACCUGCCCUUGACUUCGGGAUAACUUCAGGAAACUGGGGCUAAUACCGGAUAGGAAUCCUUGCUGCCUGGUGGGGGUUGGAAAGCUUGGGCCGUUUUGGAUGGACUCGCGGCCUAUCAGCCUGCUGGUGGGGGAGUGGCUUUCCAAGGCUUUGGCGGGUAGGCGGCCUGGGAGGGCGGCCGGCCACCUUGGGGCCGGGAUUCGGGCCAGACUCCUUCGGGGGGCAGGAGGGGGGAAUUUUUCACAAAGGGCGGGAGCCCGAUGCAGGAACGCCGCGUGCGGGGUGACCGCCUUCGGGUUGGAAACCGCUUUCAGCAGGGGCGAAGCUUGGAGUGACGGUACCUGCAGAAGAAGCACCGGCUAACUACGUG
rnacentral:rRNA from 1 species